CCACCCCGCGCUUCCCGUUCUGCCGUUGAUCAUCGGGAUAAACCCCCGCCGUCACUCCGCUCCCACGCCCACGCGGCGUCCCUCCGAUUGAGGCCCGAUACCACACGCAUCCACCUCCGCCGCCUCGCCUGCGCCGCCGACCCUGGCAUCGCCCCCAAACCGAGCCGCCGUCCGUCGCCUCCAACCCCGCCGGCAACGUCGCCUCCAGCACGCAGACCGGGGACGUCCUCGCCUCCGAUCCAAUCCCGCCGCCGCCGUCGACUACAGCACCCAGACCGGGGACGCCGUCAUCUCCAGCACCCACCCCGGUGCCGCCGUCGUCUCCGGCAUUCGCACCGAGGCCGGCGACGCCUCCAAUCCCACCCCGACGACGUUGUCUCCUGUCCCAGACCGGGGCCACCGUCGCAUCCAACCCAACCCUGGCGCCGCCGUCGCCUCCAACUCCACCCUGGCGUCGCCGCCGUCUCCAGCACGCAGACCCCGGCGCCGCCGCCGUCUCCAGCACCCACCCCGGCCUCAUCCAGUUUCUGGCCAUUUCAUCCAUGAGAUGAUGGAAUUGAGCUUGUGAAGGUUCCAUCAAGGCGGCAGGGUAUCAACUAUCAACACGUGGUGCCCUUGAUCUCGCAGGUAUGGGGUUCUGUAUGAGCUGCCAGUGACAGGCAGCAUUGAUGCAGUGCUGCUCAAAAUGUAUGCUAGGCAGUGCCAUCUUUCAAGAGGGAGACCAGAAAAAAAACCCAGUCCAUGUUGCUUGACUGAAGGUUAAGUGUUACGUAAAGGCUGGAUUGGCUCUUGGUUCUUGAAUUUGAUGAGAAGAGCGAACAGAGGAUUUAGUGGUUGUCUUACUCUAAGCUUUAUGCUGUGCUUUUUAAAGCAAAGGCCAGCCUGUGAGAUAUGAGGUGCAGGGCACGACCACACUCACCUUCAUUGCAAAGAAGUACCCUCCUCCGUGCUACUGCCAAGCGUUUCUACAUCUCAUCUUAGAAGUAUGUUACAACCUGAAGUAUCUAGAGAAAAUUGGUAUCUUCACUGCUAUGCUCAUAUGGAAGUCAGAAGUGUGCUCGUUUGCAGUGGUUGUUACUAAGGAUAGCUAUAUAUUUGCAUCAAGUGUUAUCUACUACAAAUUAAAAAUUUAUAAAAUAAGUAUUCUAAUUAAUCUUUCAUAAUAUCGUUUGCAGUGCUGCCUAAUAUUUAUUAUUUGGAUGUUUGUAGCAAAUAAAUAUCUUCAAUAUCUCAGGCAUAGUUCUCUGUUCAUUUCUCUGCUUAUUACAGCAGCAAGAUAUAUACAAGGUCUGAAGGUCCCAUAUGAAGUGCCAGUCUGUUUAUUCCAGUUUAGAUGAAAAAUUUCAUUCGUGUAACUUGUUAUACCUUUUUUUGCAACGUAUUAAAUUGAAUAAAGCGAAUGAAGCAUUGAGAAUCUAUUUCCAUCUUUUAACACCUAUGGCAAGUUGGCAACCAAAAAAAGAAACCUAAGAGCCAACCAGUUCAGCCUAAGAUGUCUAAAUUACAGAAUUCAGUUAAGAUGUCUAAUUUUGGGACAAAUGUUCUGAUUCAGGUGGCAGCCUAAGAGCCUCCUGAUUUCCGCAGUUAAGUGCCUUGAUUGUUUCUUUAGUAGCAGAUUGUUAUCCAGGAAAGGCUGGCAGAUUUUAGUUACAGGUCAGUGCUGAUUUUCCAAUGGUCUGCCUUUGUUCCAAAAUGAUGCUUCUUUUAUCAAUUGGAAGUUUUAAGUACUGAACUUUGUGCAAAAUAUUCUUAGUGCUUUCAAUCUCUUCUAAAAAAACUAAGUGGCACGAUAAUGUCUUUGAUGAAGGCAUGAGCAUAUACUAUAAUUGUUUUUCAUGUAUAGUAACGCACAAUUCCAAGGUACUAUAGUUUUGUUUUGGCUAUCACACAUAGGCUCUGGACAGAUACACUUUUGGUGAUCCUCCCUGCAUUAGCCAAGCAAAUCACUUGUAUGGCAGUUACACUUUUUUUUUAUAUAGACCUGCUUCUGACUCAAUAAAUCAAUAACUGGCAUGCAUGUAUACUUUUGCUUUUUCACCUUUGCCCUCUGGUGUUUUCUAUUGCCUUUCCUGAAUGUUAUUGUAAACAUCAAUUUUAUGAAAACAUCAUUUUUAAAGCUAUUGUUGCCCAUGCAUGAGGUAUGUGAAAUUUCAACACUUCAUGUUUUUUAUGCUUCAGGCAGUUGUCAGCCUAGCUACCUUCUAUGCUGCUGCUUUGUUCCUCUGUACCGUCAAAAAAUAACAGUAACUUUAUAUUUCAGCCAUUUGUAAUGCACUGCAUUAUCUAAUAUAUCUAUUGGUCUUCUUUCCAGGCAGAGCUAGAGAUUGAGAUUUCCAGUGUAAGUAAACCAUGUAUUCAUCCCUUAAGAUGCAUAUUCAUUCAUGUUGUCGGAUGGAUAGUUCAUACUGUCUGGCCACUUUUUCAUUUCUUCAAAUAGAUGCAUAUUCAAUUAGUCAUUCAUGUUGUCGGAUGGACUACAGUCCAUAUUCACACAGUAACUGAUGUUAUACAUGUUUAUCCAUGUCAGAAAUCAUGUGUAGCACUCUUUAAUUUAUUUUUUUUGAGAUUUGAUUCAACCUGUUGAACCUGACUGUACUGUAAAAGGGUGAGGAAACUGUUAAAUUGAUGCCCAUGCAGUCCAUGGAAACAGUCCUAGAACCCCCUUUCGAGAAACAUGUUCGACGAAGGGUGAGGUUGCGCGUGGGGCAAGAUGGUGGACGACACCUCGACUCCAACAUGUGACGACUUCACCAUCGAUCACGUCCACUUCGAGGUAGCUGGGAGAGUGGGUAGCUCUUCUUCGUCGAGUGUGCCUACCCAAGUCCCCGAGUCGCCACCAACUCCAGCGAGCUCUUCACCAAUGCAAGCGAGUCCUCCACCGACUUCGGUGAGUGCUACUCCAGCUGUGACGAGCUCUUCACCGCCACCACCACAAUCGGCUACGCCACACUCAUGCGCCAGCAGCUACUUCUCCGGGCACGGCUUUGGCAACACCGGUUGGUAGAGAACUCACCUUCCACCCACCCUCUUCUGUCCCAGUUAAUAUUUGAUCCGUGACUAAAGGUUCACCAACCAAGACUAAAACUCAGCUACUGAUGGGGGGCUCACCAAUCGGGACUAAAGAACCCCUUUAGGGCCCGUUUGGCAUGGCUCCACUUCAGAACUCCAGCAACU